ACUUGACCUCAAAUCGAGUAGGACCACCCGCUGAACUUAAGCAUAUCAAUAAGCGGAGGAAAAGAAACUAACAAGGAUUCCCCUAGUAACGGCGAGUGAAGAGGGAAGAGCUCAAAUUUUGAAUCUGGCGUCUUUGGCGUCCGAAUUGUAAUCUAGAGAAGUGUUUUCCGUGACGGACUGUGCAUAAGUCUCCUGGAAUGGAGUGUCAUAGAGGGUGAGAAUCCCGUAUAUGGCACGGACUCCCGUUGCUCUGUGAUACACUCUC
rnacentral:rRNA from 1 species